GUUCUCACCACCAAAAGGAGAAAGAAUGGGAGAACGAACGAAAGAAAGAAAAAAAGAAGAAAAGGAAAGGAAAGAAAAAGAAAGAAAAGGUAACUAUGAAAUGGAUAUAUUAAUUAGCUUGAUUUGGUGUUUCUUCCAGAAGGCACACAUAUACCACAUCAAGUUUUAUACCUUAAUAUGUAUAAUUUUCAAUUGUCAGCUACAUCUCAAUAAAUCUGGGGAGGGGGGAAGAAGAGAAGAAGCUUCUGUGAUGGACAGAAAUGGGGUUACUAAUGCCAAACAAGAUGGUCUGAAGAGGCAGAGCCAUGAUAACCGUAGUGGGGACCACUACCUGCUGGAGGCUGAUUUGGUUCCAAUUCCUGCAUCAAAAUGUGUGCAUGCACCUGCCUUCUCUGGUUUUGAAGUUGGGUCGACCAGACAUUCCUAUCUGUUAAAUGCAUUAAUUGGAUUAGCCCCAUGAACAGCUUAUUGGGGCUGAUUUCCCAAAGCAGCUGAGCUAUUUGAGGGGUCAUCCAUUUACGGACCACUUCCACCCAUAGCAAUUUUCGUCUCAUGGUCACUACAUGGGGUGAUACUUUUCUUUGACAGAUAACAAAACAGAAAUCCAGGGAAAUUGGGUAAUUUGUUCAAAAAUACCAAGUCAGCCAGUAAGUAAGCUCGGGUCUACUGUUAGAUAGAUAGAUACACACAUAUGUACUCUGGGAUGUCAGCAGGGUCCCCCUCCCCAAGAGAUAGAAGACCUCCUUGAGAACUCCAGCAGCCAAACUUUAUCUUACUUUACUUCCAAAAUAAAACAUAAAUGUGUCAUUUCUUGCAUUAAAAGUUGUGGGCUAUUUUUUUUUUUACUCUGAUAUGGUUAACUGAUUAACAUAAAGCUAAACUGAAACCAAAGAGAUUAAAUAAUGUCUCAACGUCACACAAUCAAAUCAGGUUUUCUGACUCCAGCCCAGGGUUCGUCUACUCAGACCACACACUCUGGGUUAGAGAUUUCCUGUUGUUCUUGACUUUCAAAGAGGUAGGGACAUGCUCUCAGUUGUUUAAUUGUCCUGGUUUCACCUGGUGUUUUGUUUUCCACCUAAGCAUUUCAUAAAUAAAUAUCUCUCAAGAAUUAGAAUCAUGGAAGUUGUAUAAAUCUCACCAGGAAAAGCAAAGCAGGGCCAUCUUGCUGACCAGUACUUACAAUCUUCCCUUUUGUUUUUUUGUUUUUGUUUUUGUUUUUGUUUUAAUAAUGUGGCUUCUGAUCUUUCACAAAAGCCCCAGUUUGAAUCACAUUUAUAAAAAUAUCACUGAACUACACCCUCUCGGCAGGAAAAUUGGUUUAGUAACUCAUGAUCUCAGUCUCUCUUUCUUUUCAGUGCCUGUUAAUUCUAUAAUUUCAUCAUUUUUUUUUCUUUUUUUCCCCUGCAUCUGGGGGAGAUAAGGAAAGGAAAAAGGGGAGAGUAAGAACACAGACCACGCCAUGAUUUUCUGAGUCGACUGAACAAAAGUAAUGUCACAAAACUGGGUUAUAUCCCAUUAGAGAGACCAUCCAGAAAAACAAGACAGCUGAGAACUCCUUCAGAGUGGUCAAAGGGGAAAACAGAUUAUUUCAGAGCUUGAACAAUGGGGCAUUCUUUUAACUAUGCCCAGAAAGAACCAAUGUUAAGGAAAACAGGAGACGUCUGUCCUUGGCAUCCUUCAUCAGUGCCUUUAUGGAAUCAAAUGCCCCAUCUGAGCAUCGACACCAUGCUGGGCAUUGAGGAUACAAACUUGAAGAUGUCAGUACAAAGACUUGCAGAACCAUCCACCGGAUGAUUUUUGCUUACGUGAGAAAGCUCCUCUCCUCAAACUUCUGGUCACUCUGAUAUCUUUAAGAAUAAACCAUUAAACAUUAUCAACCAGCUACUGCUAAACGAUGAACUGAUAUCCACUUGUUAGGAAAAAAUGUUUACUUAGUUCUGAAAAUAAACUUACUU